rnacentral:rRNA from 2 species
AUGCAAGUCGAACGAUGAAGUUCCUUCGGGAAUGGAUUAGUGGCGAACGGGUGAGGAACACGUGAGAAACCUGCCUUUCAUUCUGGGAUAACACCGGGAAACCGGUGCUAAUACCGGAUACUCCAUCUUGGCGGCAUCGCCGAGCUGGGAAAAAAUUUUGAUGAAAGAUGGUCCCCGCGGCCUAUCAGCUAGUUGGUGAGGUAAAGGCUCACCAAGGCGACGACGGGUAGCCGGCCUGAGAGGGCGACCGGCCACACUGGGACUGAGACACGGCCCAGACUCC